GAGUCUUUAGCUCAAUGGUAGAGCACCUCACUUUUAAUGAGGGGGUUGAUGGUUCGAGUCCAUCAAGACUCA
rnacentral:tRNA from 4 species